rnacentral:rRNA from 1 species
AUUGAACGCUGGCGGCAGGCCUAACACAUGCAAGUCGAACGAGUGGCGGACGGGUGAGUAAUGUCUGGGAAACUGCCCGAUGGAGGGGGAUAACUACUGGAAACGGUAGCUAAUACCGCAUACUAUCGGAUGAACCCAUAUGGGAUUAGCUAGUAGGUGGGGUAAAGGCUCACCUAGGCGACGAUCCCUAGCUGGUCUGAGAGGAUGACCAGCCACACUGGAACUGAGACACGGCCCAUACUCCUACGGGAGGCAGCAGUGGGGAAUAUUGCACAAUGGGCGCAAGCCUGAUGCAGCCAUGCCGCGUGUAUGAAGAAGGCCUUCGGGUUGUAAAGUACUUUCAGUGGGGAGGCGUUACCGGCAGAAGAAGCACCGGCUAACUCCGUGCCAGCAGCCGCGGUAAUUC